rnacentral:rRNA from 1 species
AGAGUUUGAUUAUGGCUCAGGAUGAACGCUAGCGGCAGGCUUAACACAUGCAAGUCGAGGGGCAGCACGAUGUAGCAAUACAUUGGUGGCGACCGGCGCACGGGUGCGUAACGCGUAUGCAACCUACCUACAACAAGGGGAUAAUCUGGAGAAAUCCGGUCUAAUACCCUAUAGCAUUAUCUGAUUGCAUAAUUAGAUAAUUAAAGCGCUUAGUGGUUGUAGAUGGGCAUGCGUGCCAUUAGGUAGUUGGUGAGGUAACGGCUCACCAAGCCGACGAUGGCUAGGGGUUCUGAGAGGAUGAUCCCCCACACUGGAACUGAGACACGGUCCAGACUCCUACGGGAGGCAGCAGUGAGGAAUAUUGGUCAAUGGGCGGAAGCCUGAACCAGCCAUGCCGCGUGCAGGAAGACGGCCCUAUGGGUUGUAAACUGCUUUUAUAAUAGAACAAUAAGAACUACGUGUAGUUCGAUGAGUGUAUAUUAUGAAUAAGCAUCGGCUAACUCCGUGCCAGCAGCCGCGGUAAUACGGAGGAUGCAAGCGUUAUCCGGAUUCAUUGGGUUUAAAGGGUGCGUAGGCGGAUUUAUAAGUCAGCGGUGAAAUCUUUCGGCUUAACCGAAAAUGUGCCGUUGAUACUGUAGAUCUAGAGUGUAAAUGGAGUAGGCGGAAUAUGUCAUGUAGCGGUGAAAUGCAUAGAUAUGACAUAGAACACCAAUCGCGAAGGCAGCUUACUAAAAUACAACUGACGCUGAUGCACGAAAGCGUGGGGAUCAAACAGGAUUAGAUACCCUGGUAGUCCACGCUGUAAACGAUGAUAACUCGUUGUCGGCGAUACACUGUCGGUGACUGAGCGAAAGCGAUAAGUUAUCCACCUGGGGAGUACGAUCGCAAGGUUGAAACUCAAGGAAUUGACGGGGGCCCGCACAAGCGGAGGAGCAUGUGGUUUAAUUCGAUGAUACGCGAGGAACCUUACCUAGAUUUGACGGAGCAGAUAUAUCAGAGAUGUAUAGCUAGCAUAGCUGU